UUAAUGAGAGUUUGAUCCUGGCUCAGGACGAACGCUGGCGGCGUGCCUAAUACAUGCAAGUAGAACGCUGAAGAGAGGAGCUUGCUCUUCUUGGAUGAGUUGCGAACGGGUGAGUAACGCGUAGGUAACCUGCCUUGUAGCGGGGGAUAACUAUUGGAAACGAUAGCUAAUACCGCAUAACAAUGGAUGGCACAUGUCAUUUAUUUGAAAGGGGCAAUUGCUCCACUACAAGAUGGACCUGCGUUGUAUUAGCUAGUAGGUGAGGUAAUGGCUCACCUAGGCGACGAUACAUAGCCGACCUGAGAGGGUGAUCGGCCACACUGGGACUGAGACACGGCCCAGACUCCUACGGGAGGCAGCAGUAGGGAAUCUUCGGCAAUGGGGGCAACCCUGACCGAGCAACGCCGCGUGAGUGAAGAAGGUUUUCGGAUCGUAAAGCUCUGUUGUAAGUCAAGAACGGGUGUGAGAGUGGAAAGUUCACACUGUGACGGUAGCUUACCAGAAAGGGACGGCUAACUACGUGCCAGCAGCCGCGGUAAUACGUAGGUCCCGAGCGUUGUCCGGAUUUAUUGGGCGUAAAGCGAGCGCAGGCGGUUUGAUAAGUCUGAAGUUAAAGGCUGUGGCUCAACCAUAGUUCGCUUUGGAAACUGUCAAACUUGAGUGCAGAAGGGGAGAGUGGAAUUCCAUGUGUAGCGGUGAAAUGCGUAGAUAUAUGGAGGAACACCGGUGGCGAAAGCGGCUCUCUGGUCUGUAACUGACGCUGAGGCUCGAAAGCGUGGGGAGCGAACAGGAUUAGAUACCCUGGUAGUCCACGCCGUAAACGAUGAGUGCUAGGUGUUGGAUCCUUUCCGGGAUUCAGUGCCGCAGCUAACGCAUUAAGCACUCCGCCUGGGGAGUACGACCGCAAGGUUGAAACUCAAAGGAAUUGACGGGGGCCCGCACAAGCGGUGGAGCAUGUGGUUUAAUUCGAAGCAACGCGAAGAACCUUACCAGGUCUUGACAUCCCGAUGCUAUUUCUAGAGAUAGAAAGUUACUUCGGUACAUCGGUGACAGGUGGUGCAUGGUUGUCGUCAGCUCGUGUCGUGAGAUGUUGGGUUAAGUCCCGCAACGAGCGCAACCCCUAUUGUUAGUUGCCAUCAUUCAGUUGGGCACUCUAGCGAGACUGCCGGUAAUAAACCGGAGGAAGGUGGGGAUGACGUCAAAUCAUCAUGCCCCUUAUGACCUGGGCUACACACGUGCUACAAUGGUUGGUACAACGAGUUGCGAGUCGGUGACGGCGAGCUAAUCUCUUAAAGCCAAUCUCAGUUCGGAUUGUAGGCUGCAACUCGCCUACAUGAAGUCGGAAUCGCUAGUAAUCGCGGAUCAGCACGCCGCGGUGAAUACGUUCCCGGGCCUUGUACACACCGCCCGUCACACCACGAGAGUUUGUAACACCCGAAGUCGGUGAGGUAACCUUUUGGAGCCAGCCGCCUAAGGUGGGACAGAUGAUUGGGGUGAAGUCGUAACAAGGUAGCCGUAUCGGAAGGUGCGGCUGGAUCACCUCCUUUCUAAGGAA
rnacentral:rRNA from 1 species